rnacentral:rRNA from 1 species
GUAGGGAAUAUUGGGCAAUGGUCGGAAGACUGACCCAGCCAUGCCGCGUGUAGGAAGACGGCCCUCUGGGUUGUAAACUGCUUUUAUCUGGGAAGAAAAAGGCCAUGCGUGGCAAAUUGCCGGUACCAGAUGAAUAAGCACCGGCUAACUCCGUGCCAGCAGCCGCGGUAAUACGGAGGGUGCGAGCGUUGUCCGGAUUUAUUGGGUUUAAAGGUUGCGUAGGCGGCUGAUUAAGUCAGCGGUGAAAGACUUCGGCUUAACCGGAGCAGUGCCGUUGAUACUGGUUGGCUUGAGUGUCGGAGGGGUACAUGGAAUGGAUGGUGUAGCGGUGAAAUGCAUAGAUACCAUCAGGAACACCGAUAGCGAAGGCAUUGUACUGGCCGACAACUGACGCUGAUGCACGAAAGUGUGGGGAUCGAACAGGAUUAGAUACCCCGGUAGUCC